GCACAGGGAAAAAAAAACGGGAAAAAGGGAAAAACUCUUUGCUCCGGGGCUGGAAUGGCCCGGGAAGGGAAUGUGGGGGGGGGAGGGAAAUGAAGGAAAAUCACGGGAAGGGAAGAGGGAUUUGGGAAAAAUUCGGGAUUUGGGAAAAGUUCGGGGUUUACCCCCGAAGGUCAUAAAAAAAAGGGAUGGAUUUUGCCGCGGGAAUUCGGGAUAUCGGGAUGUCCCCACCCCCACCCCGGCGGGGUUUGGAUGGAAAACUCAAGGGAGCCCCGGGAAAAUGAGGAAUAACGGGAAAAAAUGAGGGAUAAUGGGAAAAAAUGAGGGAUAAGGGAGCGGUUGGAUAUUCCAGAGGCUGCUCCAGGGCUGGGAUAUCCCACCCAAAACCCUCCAGGGAAUCUCCAAAAUUUCAGGUCCUGCUUGGCUUUGAAAAUCCACCUGAGUUGGGAUCCCAAUUCCGGGAUCCCGGUGGGGAGAGACAGAAAAAUUGGAAUUUAAGGGACAAAAAAAAACCCCAAACCCAUAAAAAUCCGAGAUUCCCAUUCCCAAACAUCCCAGAAAAGGCAAACCCACCAACCCCCCUCCCUCCAAUCCCCUCCCACCCCACGGAAGAACAAAGAGCAAGGGAUCCCAUUCUCUUCUCACUGGUGAUAUUUUUUUUUUUUAAGGACCAUUUUUUUUUUAAUUUCAUCUCCAAUUUUUUUUUUUUACACACACAAGCAAGAUGUGGGAACCAAGCUGGUGCAAGAAAAAGGGGGGUGGGAAAAGGGGGGGAAAAAAGGGGAAAAAAAGGGAAAAAAAAACAAAAAAAAAGAGAAAAAAACCAACCAACCAACCAAAAAAAAUUCAACUCAACUCAAAUCAGCUCCGAGGGAUUCGUGGAUUCCGGAUAAUCCCUGUGGAUCUGCAGCUCCUGGAUGGGUUUUACCCAAAUUCCAAGCGGGAAAAAAUCCGAAAAAAAAACAAAAGGAGGAGGGCAAAAAAAAAAAAAAAAAAUAAAUCUAAGAGAGAACAACCCAAAAGCCAACUCGAAGCCAUUCCAGGGCAGCAGGUCCCGAUCCCAGGGAACAGCUCCUGGUCCAUCCGGCCCCGAAGGGGAGCAGAAAUGACAACAGCAACAUCCCGAGGUUUUUUUUUUUCCAGAGGGACAGCGACAUCCCGAGGUUUUUUUCUUCCGGAGGGAAUCCCGCCGGGGGUCGGCGCAGUCCCGACAGCUCCGGGAGGGAUCCGCGGAAAACGACGGGCGAGGAAUCCAAGUGGAGACACUUCCAGGCCGUGGGGUGGGAUUGGACUCGUUCCCUCUCUUUUCUCCUGGCUGGAGGAGCCCCUUCCAUCCCUGUGCCUGCUCCUGCCACCCCAGAAAUCCCGGGAUCCGGAGGAGGGCGACGCCGUUCCCGCAAAAAGCAAAGACACAUCCCAGGUUUUCGUGGUUGUUUUGGGAGGGGGGAGGUUUUUGGGUUUUUUUGGCCGCUCAUUCCCUUCCCUCUCCUGGGAUAGAUAGCCCAGGGAACACCCCCUGGGAUCUGCACUCCUGUAUUGCUACCAACAUGGAAUGUGGGAAUGCCACCCGCCCCUCGGGACACUGGCUGGGAAAAGAGGGAAGGAAGGAAAGGAAGGGAGGGAGGGAAAAAUCUCAGGCUCUAAAGGGGUGAGGUGAGAGAGAGAGAGAGAGAGAGAGAGAGAGAUAUAGAUAUAAUAUAUCAAUGCUAUAAUCCAUAAAAACCUUGUUUGUUUGUUUUUUUUUUAGUAAUAAAAAAAAUUGCUUUUUUUUUUUUGUUUUUUUU
ensembl:lncRNA